CGUAGGGUGCGAGCGUUAAUCGGAAUUACUGGGCGUAAAGCGUGCGCAGGCGGUUUGUUAAGAUAGGCGUGAAAUCCCCGGGCUCAACCUGGGAACUGCGCUUAUGACUGGCAAGCUAGAGUACGGCAGAGGGGGGUGGAAUUCCACGUGUAGCAGUGAAAUGCGUAGAGAUGUGGAGGAACACCAAUGGCGAAGGCAGCCCCCUGGGUCGAUACUGACGCUCAUGCACGAAAGCGUGGGUAGCAAACAGGAUUAGAUACCCUGGUAGUCCACGCCCUAAACGAUGUCAACUAGGUGUUGGGAGGGUAAAACCUUUUAGUACCGGAGCUAACGCGUGAAGUUGACCGCCUGGGGAGUACGGCCGCAAGGUUA
rnacentral:rRNA from 1 species